rnacentral:tRNA from 1 species
GGGGUUGUGGCUCAGUGGGUAGAGCACUCGCCUAGCACCUGUGACGCCCUGAGUUCCAUCCUCAGCAACACAU